AUGAACGCUGGCGGCGUGCCUAAUACAUGCAAGUCGAGCGAACAGAUGAGGAGCUUGCUCCUCUAACGUUAGCGGCGGACGGGUGAGUAACACGUGGAUAACCUACCUAUAAGACUGGGAUAACUUCGGGAAACCGGAGCUAAUACCGGAUAAUAUAUUGAACCGCAUGGUUCAAUAGUGAAAGACGGUUUUGCUGUCACUUAUAGAUGGAUCCGCGCCGCAUUAGCUAGUUGGUAAGGUAACGGCUUACCAAGGCAACGAUGCGUAGCCGACCUGAGAGGGUGAUCGGCCACACUGGAACUGAGACACGGUCCAGACUCCUACGGGAGGCAGCAGUAGGGAAUCUUCCGCAAUGGGCGAAAGCCUGACGGAGCAACGCCGCGUGAGUGAUGAAGGUCUUCGGAUCGUAAAACUCUGUUAUUAGGGAAGAACAAAUGUGUAAGUAACUAUGCACGUCUUGACGGUACCUAAUCAGAAAGCCACGGCUAACUACGUG
rnacentral:rRNA from 1 species